UGAGUGGCGGACGGGUGAGUAACGCGUGGGCAACCUGGCCUGUACAGGGGGAUAACACUUAGAAAUAGGUGCUAAUACCGCAUAACGGGGGAAGCCGCAUGGCUUUUCCCUGAAAACUCCGGUGGUACAGGAUGGGCCCGCGUCUGAUUAGCCAGUUGGCAGGGUAACGGCCUACCAAAGCGACGAUCAGUAGCCGGCCUGAGAGGGCGGACGGCCACACUGGGACUGAGCACGGCCCAGACUCCUACGGAAGGCAGCAG
rnacentral:rRNA from 1 species